UUGGGUGUGAAAGUCAAAAUGAGGUUUUAAGUUAGGGUGAAGGGAAGAAUGGGCUUGGGCUGGGUGGUUUUUAUUCUUAUGGGCUCAGAUUUAUUGAUUGGGCCCAACUUUUAAUUCUUGGGCUGCAGAUUUUAUUCUAAAUAAGUUGCACUUGAUUUUAAGUAUCAACCCAUAUUUUAAAGAAGCAUGCAUUUUAUUAUUUUGAAUCACUAAACCGAUGAUUAUUUUCAAAUGAUUUUAUGAUAAUAAAUUCUUAAGAUUUAAACUAUUAUUAUUAUUAUUAUUAUUUUUUAAGUUUAAUUAGACCCUUAUGUUUAUUAUUUGAAUUUAUCUGACUAGGUGCGGCGCGACUAGGACGUUACUUUUAAUUGAAUUACUCAAGUUAGCUUUCAAGUUCAAGUUGAAGUUCAAGUUCAAAGUUUCAGGUGUGGGAUUUAUUUCAGUACAUGCCCGUGGUUAAUUCUUGUCCAUUUUAAUAUCAUGUGUUUACCAUAUGUGAGUUGCAUUAAAUUAUAUCGCUAGGGCCCGCUCAAUGGGUCCAGGACUUCACCGUCCUUGGUAUGCCACAAUGCGAUUUCAUGUUAAAGUUAUGGUUGCAACCAGUCGCCAGGGGCCGGCUCAAUCGGUCCAGGACGGAAAGGUCCUUGGUUUUAAAGGCCGGAGGCGCGUGGAAGGUCGAAUGGCGAGUCAAAUAUUUUGAAUUUAGUUUUACUUAAAAAUGUUAUGUUUAGUAAAGUAUUUUAAAAUAAGAUAUUUAUUUCUUUAUUUUCACAUUAAAUAUUUAUUUAUAUUCAUAAUUUUUCCG